ACGCGCUGAGGGGCGGGGCCAGAGUGAGGGCGCCUCUUAAAGGAGCCGCGUCGUUAUUUUGUGAGGGGAGUGAGGUUCCGCUGGCGGACAGAGAGAAAAGUAAAUAAAUAAAUAAAUCAAUCAAUCAACGAUCUGCGCUCCUGGCCAAGGAACGGGAACUCCUGUGGAGUUCACAAUGAAUUUACGUGGAAUUUACAUGGAAGUGACAUCGAAUUCACGUGGAAUACACGUGACAAUCCAACCCUCUGGGGCCUUUGCAACAGCCGGGGACCCUCCUGGAAUUCCCAUUUCCUUCUUGUCUCAUGGUUGAAGUUGUCCCACCCUGAACGUGGCUGGGGUGAGGCUGUGGUGCCACCCCUGGUGAGCUCCAGGAGCAGCAGCAUCCCCUUAAUCCUCUGCUGAAGAACCUUUAAUUAAAAGCUAUUAUUUUACUAUUUUAAUUACUCUCCCCACUGAGCUUACUGUCUUUCCUCACAUUCUACUGCACCUCCAAAAACACAAUGGGGACAGAACCACCUAAACCCCAAUUUUGGAGCCCCAGCCUCUCUUUAGCACCUCCCCAGCCGCAGGAGCCUUGAGGAAAAGCUUUGCCGUGGAUCUUUAUCCCACAGCCAGGGUAUUUAUCCUCCCAGGAUGAGGAGGGAAAACAACCACCCCCAGGGCCAGCUGUGGAUGUCUCCCAGCCCUGCUGCCACCUCCAGGAGCUAAAGCUGUUCCUGCCACGCCCCAGCUCCGGGCUUUCCACCUAAAACCUGAGACUGCGGCAUCUCAGCACCUGCAGGAAGAGGAAUUGUUCCAAAGCAAAUCCUUCAGCAAAUGUCACGAGCAAGUUUUUCCUGUAAUUUUUCUUCCUCUUAACUCAUUGUCUCCUUCAAGUGCUUGUAGAGGUCAAGGAGAACAUCCCAGCUUUAAUCUCAAGGGGAAUAUUUGGGUUUUUGUACAAGUUUUUCCAGUGAUUUAUAUUCAGGCUUAUAUUGAAGAUUCCCAAGCUAUCAGGAUUCACAGCUGUUGACAGCAGAGCCAAGUAGAAUUUGAUAAUUAUUGACUUUAAAGAUAAACUUUAAAUAGGAAAGGCUUUCCCCACCUGAUUGGAAUUAAUAAUAGAAGGGGAAAAGGAAACAAACCCCAUGUGAUGGACAUUUAUUCAUUCCUAGAAAGUAAGGGUGAAAAUACAAAUCUUCCCUCUUCCUUCUCACCCUCAGGGAACAAAACAAUGUAUGAAUUCAUUUUGUGGCAGGAGAAACCCUCUGGGAAUGUUAUUUCAGGGAAGAGAGAAUGUUUCCAAGCCUGCAGCUGGAAUUUUCACAACCUCCUGUUUUGUCAGUGCUCUUCCCUCCUAGAACAGCAUCAAAUAAUUGAAUUGGAUUGGAUUAAAUAAAACUUGGCACCAAAA